GCAGGAGCAGAUUAUACAGGUGAAGGAGCUGAGCAAAGGGGUGGAGAGCAUUGUGGCUGUGGACUGGAAACACCCGAGGUGAGUGCAGGGGGCCUGUCACUGUAGCCCAGCUGGCCCCAGGGCACGUGGGCCACGGACUGGGGAUUGCUGAGAUGCUAGUAUAAAAUGUGUUUUUUCUUUCCUUCUGCUGGGUUUUAGGAUUACAUCUUUCGUCAUACCCGAGCCCUCCCCGACCUCCCAGACUAUCCAGGAGGGUAGCAGGGAACAGCCCUAUCACCCUCCAGAUAUAAAACCCCUCUACUGUGUCCCAGCCAGCAUGACCCUGCUCUUCCAGGAGUCUGGCCACAAGAAGGGGAGCUUUCUGGAGGGCAGUGAGGUCCGAAUGAUCGUCAUUAACUACGCCAAGAAAAAUGACCUGGUUGAUGCAGACAACAAAAAUCUUGUGAAAUUGGAUCCCAUCCUAUGUGACUGCAUCUUAGAGAAAAAUGAACAGCAUACAGUCAUGAAGCUUCCAUGGGACAGUCUUCUGACCAGGUGUUUGG
rnacentral:sRNA from 1 species